GUGGGUAUACGUUAAUGGCAGACUGCCAGAUUCCCCAUUCUGGAAGUACGGGUUCGAAUCCCGUUAUCCGCU
rnacentral:tRNA from 2 species